ACAAAAAUCUACGUUGAUUAGUUUAAUAUUUCAAUAUACUACGCAGUGGUAGCAUUCAUUUUAAAAUUCGCUGUUAUGAACUAUGACGACCCAUGCCGCUAUUGGCUCAAAGAACGUGGAUCUACGUUCUUUGAUUAGCUGCAACAGGCGGCGGCCAGCUGGCCACACGCGGAACGGAAGCUUGGUCCAUGGUGCUGAAAGUGAACGCGUCUCCUUCUGAGUUUGACAUUAAUUAUGAGUCUCUGAGACCAUGUCGCCACCAAUAAAGAAAAGGACGACAGACAUUAGAAGUUAUUUCGCUACCUCGGCUGAUGCUCAGACAGCAGAGCAAGGGGCAGAGCAGAACGAUGGAGAGGUGGCUGGAGCUUCAGGGCUCCAGGUGAGGUGUUAGUUCUCAGAUAUGUAAUAUACUGUGAAAUUAUCUCAGUAAAUAUGGCAUUUGAAGUGUUAGUCUUAAAUUAAGUUAAGCUAGUGU